CCAAGGAGCCAGAACUAAAGAGCUGGCCACAUCUGUAAACAGGAGCGCUGUGAGCACGCUGGCAGAUGUGGCAGGGGGUUGAGCUGGAAGCUGCUCGACACGUCGACUGGCCUGUCCGGGGUCAACGCCACAUUGCGAGAGACAAACAAGCUCCUGCAUGACUCGAACCUGACCACUCUGUUAGUGGAAAGAAAAAAGAUGUGGAAACACAAGCCAACCUUCUAUUUGAUCAGUUGAAACCUUUGAAGAUUUUAGAAGAGAAUCUGAACAGAAACCUUUCCGAAAUUAAACUGCUGAUCAGCCAGGCCCGGAAACAAGCAGCUUCUAAAUCUCCUGUCGUGAAGGUAACCAUUUCAGAGACUGCAUGGGAGAAGCUUUCUUAAAUGGAAAAUCCAUCAGCCUGUGGAACCACCUAGAAAGGGAGGGUAAAUGUCACGGCUGCUUUGGAAGGUGAGAUGUCACCACAAUUUUACACGUGAUGUGUCAUUCUGUUAACAUCUGAGGGCUGUGGAAAAAACUUAAUGCACAUCAGAGGGUUUGUGCUAUUGUUUAUUU